rnacentral:rRNA from 2 species
AAAACGACUCUCGGCAACGGAUAUCUCGGCUCUCGCAUCGAUGAAGAACGUAGCGAACUGCGAUACUUGGUGUGAAUUGCAGAAUCCCGUGAACCAUCGAGUCUUUGAACGCAAGUUGCGCCCGAAGCCUUCCAGCAUAGGGCACGUCUGCCUGGGCGUCACGC